rnacentral:rRNA from 1 species
GACGAACGCUGGCGGCGUGCCUAAUACAUGCAAGUCGAGCGAAUGGAUUAAGAGCCUGCUCUUAUGAAGUUAGCGGCGGACGGGUGAGUAACACGUGGGUAACCUGCCCAUAAGACUGGGAUAACUCCGGGAAACCGGGGCUAAUACCGGAUAACAUUUUGAAUCGCAUGGUUCGAAAUUGAAAGGCGGCUUCGGCUGUCACUUAUGGAUGGACCCGCGUCGCAUUAGCUAGUUGGUGAGGUAACGGCUCACCAAGGCAACGAUGCGUAGCCGACCUGAGAGGGUGAUCGGCCACACUGGGACUGAGACACGGCCCAGACUCCUACGGGAGGCAGCAGUAGGGAAUCUUCCGCAAUGGACGAAAGUCUGACGGAGCAACGCCGCGUGAGUGAUGAAGGCUUUCGGGUCGUAAAACUCUGUUGUUAGGGAAGAACAAGUGCUAGUUGAAUAAGCUGGCACCUUGACGGUACCUAACCAGAAAGCCACGGCUAACUACGUGCCAGCAGCCGCAGUAA